UAUAUAUAUAUAUAUAUAAUAUAUAUAUAUAUAAUAUAUAUAUAUAUAUAUAUAUAUAUAUAAACUCGCACAUCACGAAGAACCUUCAAUGCUGUUGUUGAAAAAAUUUGCGUGUAAGUCGAGGAUCUCUCUUCUGUAACUGAUUUCUGCGCGCGACUGUGAUGAUCUGUUCGACUUACGUUGUGUGAUCGUGAGCGAUCAUCGGGAUACGCUUGCGUGCUACUUCGACCAAUGGUAACCAGAUUGAUAAAGGAUCUUUUUAACGACAAUCGGUACAAUUUGAAGGGAAAGAAGAAGUAUAAGAAUAAUGGAAAUAAAAGAAGAAAAAGCCAGUAGUCCAUCCGAGGAGGAAGAGAGAGAGAGAGAGAGAGAGAGAGAGAUAGAUAGAGAGAAAGAGAAAGGGAGAGAAAAAGAGAGAACAAUGAGGAAAAAGGGCAUUCGCGAGAACUAGAUAUUAUGCGUGAACUGAAAAAACACAGACACCUUUUUUUCUUGAGAAGAAAGAGCUCUGUCCUCCAAUGGAAGAUAGGAAGAAGAAGAAUAGGGAAAAACGAAGAAAGAAGAUAAUAGAAAAAAGUAAUUAACUCUAUAUAAUUAGUUACUUACCGUGCGCGCGUCCAGGUGCGCACUUCCAGGUGUGUCGUCCAAUUUAACAUUUAGAUUAAAACAAAAAGAAAAAAUCGACAGUGCGAACGCGAGAACAGGGUCCAAAAGGUAGAAAAGGGCUUAUCACGUGCCACGUCCUGAGGACACUGAGUUUCUUUUUCCGUCGGAAGGAAAAAGAAAGAAGACUAGUACAGAGACUGUCCACGAGCUGCCAGGAAUCGUAUAUAUGAUCUGCUGCUCGCCAUUUUCUUUCUUUCUUUUUUGUUCUCUUUGUUCCUCCAUUUCUGAUUAUCUUUUUUUUUUGUAUCUUUCUUUUUAUCUUAUUUCUUUGUUCUCAUUUGUCUUGCUAGAGAAAGAACAAAGGGAAUCUUUAACUUUUUCCGCUAAGAGAGAGAGACUAUGUUAUAUGCAUCGUAAGGUUAGAACGAUUCUUUGUUACUUCUUCGUUCUCUUUUUUGUUUCUUCGCCAUACGGCCCACUUAUUAUAUCAGGGACUCGAUCUGUGUAUCUUGACUUAAUAGGCAAAAGAAUGACAUAACUUGGGAAUCUAUCUUAUAACAAUUAAAACGAAAAAAAAAAAAUAAGCGUAAUAAAACAAAAGAGAGGAAGGAUGAGAAUACGUUAAGCACUCUUUUUAGAAUUAUCUGCCAUAAGAAAACGAAUAAAUCAAUCACGUGCGGUUAGCUAUGGCCGCACUUUGCGCUUCAGAUAUCCACGAAAGAAGCAGCAGGACUAAAGUUUAGGGAAAUGAGAAUGAGACGAAACAUAAAACUGGCUUCGUUCCUUCCAAAUCACUCGAUCGCUCGUAGUGGUUCCAGUUGUGUGUAUCGUUAUGCUAGGAUACAUUCGUUUUAUACGAUUUCAUAACUAUUGUUAGCCAUUGAAAGGCAGAUGGUGUGGAACCAUCACCGAUAUGAAAUGAAAAAUAUUUAACAAACAGCAAAUUAAAGAUCCCCCCCCAAAAAAGAGUAAAAAUAAACUAUAAAUGAAAUGAGAAGAAAAACGGUAAAAUCGAAAUAUUAAAAACGAACAAGUAUCAUAUAGUAAUAAUUAAUCGUCGUCAGCGAUAACUAUAAUAUACAGUGCGUUGUACAGUAUAUGCCAAUUUAUUAUACGUACGAAUGAAUACCUUAUUCGUAUAAUUAUUAUUAUUAUUAUGAUGACAGAUACUAUUAAUAUAAUUAUUGAUGCUAUUACUACUAUUAUUGUUCGGAUAGUUAGAAAGAUAGAUACAAUUUGAAACCUUCGUUGGGGAACUUGCAGUUACUGAACGAAGGAAUCAAAGAAAGAUAUUACAUAUAUCAAGCCAAUUUCAAUUUUCCAUUGAUAUGUAACGAAAGUUUAUGAUGUUAAUGUUUCUAAUAUCCUUUUGUCUGUUUACUAUGAUAUCAUUUUAAACGCAUAAACACGAUGAAAGAAUUUUACGUAGUAAUUUUAAACGUAUCCUUUUUCAUUCUCAUUCUUUUGUCUCUUUUUUUCUUCUUUAAGACGAUUUGUAUAUAAGAUGUGUGUCUUUCUACUUCACGCUUGCUUUGUUUCACAUUAAGUAAACAUUUGCAGUUAUUUGUGAGUGUUUUGUGAUAGGAAGUGAAGAAAGUGAAAGACGGUGAUAAAGAGGAAGGGAACUUGACUCGUAUUAAUUCGGUAUAUUGCGCAUAUAUCGUCGUUUGUAUGAAUGAAAUAUAAUACUUAAAAAGUUUUUAAAUAUCAGUGUACAGAACUUUACACUCUUACAAGAUACGUGUUUCGACUUUUCUCUUUCACAUAGUUAAUUAUUCUAAAGUAUAAAAAAAAGAUGUUGAUUCGUAAACAUUUUAUGUUGCAAGUUUUAAUAUUUAAAUCAUUUUAUAGCAGCUUUUUCUGAUAUAUUGUAUAGAUAUAUAUAUAUAUAUACAAAAUCAAUUAAAAAAAUUACUCGUUUAAUAUGAAGUUUCGUUCGUUUUUUUUUUUUUAACGUAAUACGAGUCGUUUCUUUUUUGCUUUGUACAUAUUUAUUUAGCUUCGUAGAAAUUUAAUUUGAAAUUUAUUAGUAUCCAAUUGAUCGGAAAUCAUUUAGUUAUUACGAUUGUUUUUUUUUUCUGAAAAUUAGAAUAUUAAUAAUGAAAAGUAAAAUUAAGUUUCUUUUAAACGAAAAGGAAAGUCUGUAUUUUAGUUUUAUUGAAAUAUUGUCGUGCAUCGUAACUUGCGCGUCUAGUUCUCUUUUUUUUUUCUUCUUCUUUUUAACCAAUCAAAUAUGUUAUUUGUAAUUGAUUUAUUUACUGACGAACAUCGUUCGAUGUUUUCGAUCGUCGAUGGUUUUAAAGAAAAUGCAAAUAAAUUGCAUACAAACGAUUAGAAUUCUAUGUGUUAAAGGUAUCACCGCCUUAGUAACUUAAUUUAGUUGUUGUAUUUUUAAAAAGACAUACUUUUAUCGUAGUCUUUUAGUACGUUGUAGAAUAAUUAAUUAUGUUUGAAGUUGUAUGCAACGAGUCGCAAGAUUUCAUUGUAUUAGCUUAAAUUUGUUAGUAAUGUAAAAUAUUGUUUCAAUCGACUAAAAAUAUUCUGAAGCAAAGAGAAAAAAAGAAAAAUGUUUUGAUUGUUAUUUUUCAUUUUAUAGAGAUUCUUCGCUUGCUGCUCUUAAAACUCUCUGUGCAAUGUAUUCAACUCUUUUUACGUACUAUAUUUAUAUUGAGUGGCAAAAUUAACGAGAGGAAAGUUACUAAAUAUAUUAUAACCCAAAUCUUUAGAAACCUUGGUUUGAAAAAUGCAUUUGAUGCGUUUGAUGAAACAAAAACGAUAAUAAUGAAUGAUAAUUUUGAAAUGUUAGAUGAUAUUUCGUUAUGAGAAAAGAAAGGUAACUGAGGGCCGCUAAAAUAUGAAUGGCACAGUGUUGACAAGUAUUUUCUACCGAUUGCAACGAAUUUAUAAAAUGCAAAACAACACGAAAAGAGCCUGUUUAGAAUAAAAUAAUUUAACCUAUUUUUAUAUAUGAAAAUAUACGUAUAAGUAAAUAAAUGAAUAAGCAAAUAAAUUAAAUAAAAAAUUAAUUAAUUAAUUAAUUAAUAUUAUACGUAUAUACGAUUACAGAAUCUAUCGUGUGUGUGUUCAUGAAGAUAAACGAGGAUUGUAAGAACAUUAAUAUCGAAGUAUAUAUGAUUGUAACUAAAAGGUACGGGAACUCGUUAAAUAUAUGUCGUUGUGAUUCGAUUUGAACUACGAUCAGUUCAUUUGUAGAUAUAAAUGAUAGGGAAUCUUAUUUUUGCUCAUUUUUUCCCCCUUUGCAUUUACAAAAACAAAAAAAAAAUGUAAUAAAAAUUAUAAAAUAAUUAAUUUAUGCGUUUCCUUUCACUCUCAUUUCAUUUACACUUCACUGCGUUUUAUAGCGUAGCCGACGAAUAACGGAGAAACAGAGAACGAAAUUAUAAAAUUCAACAGGUAUUUGCAUAACGCGCAAAAGAAAGGAAAAAGAAAAAAGGAAAAAAGAGAGAAAAGAAGCUCCCGGUGUGUUUUUUCAAUACUGUCAUGCUGUGCCAUACAUAUCCACUUCGGUGUACGAUGGUUCAGUAAAAAGUUUGUAUCUACAUUAUGAAUAUUGCGACUUUCCUUUUUGUAUUAUAUUCGCGCAUUGAUUAUUAAACAAAAGAAAUUAUACGUAAGGAUAUUUUCAGACCAUUCCUUUAAUAUAAAUAAUACAUUUUGGAAUGCAGUUGUUAAAUUUAAAAUAAUGCUGUAAUGGAGUAAUAAUCUAAGAAACGAAGGAUUCGAAUUAUUAAUUAUUUAUAAAUAAGUAUCAUAUUAUUUAAGAUUUUCCUUGAUUUUUUUCGUUUAAUUUCGAUUAACCUUAUGUAUGUACAGUUUUUCUCAAAAUCCCACAUUCUUUUAGUCUAACAAUCAACGCAUGUACAAAUAGUAUCGAUCAAGAGUGUAAAAUAUCCACCGAUCAUUCAGACAUUGCAACGAUGAUAGUACACGUGAGAGCAAGUCCAUUAUUUAAUGGACGAAUCGAUGGAAGCAGAAAACAGAAUGCACUAAAGAGACUGAACUAGAAGAAACUCGGCGCGUAAAGGAAAUACCUAAAAAUUCAAGUGCAACUUAAGUAAACCCUGCAAUAAGCGCGUUUCUAAUUUGCGCCGCGUUUCUAACAAGAGAGUCAGUAUACGUAUAUUCGACGGACUGAAAUACUUAAUGAAAGAUGGGUGAAACAAGAACAGAGUUCUUGUCAGAGAAGAAUGGAACCGUAAUACCGAACUUGUCCCAUGAUCAGCAUUAUCAGGAUCGUGUAAACGUUUGAACGAACGACAAAACUAUCGGAACAAGUAGUAUUUGUACAGAAAGUAAUGUCUUUGCGAAUGUAAGUGCUCUUAACAAUGCAUUUGAUAACUCGUAACGAUUAGUUCCGAUUGCCGAUAGCUCCUUUAUCGGUUUCAUUGCCAGAGCUUCGAACGUGAAGCAAACCUUUCGAAAAUUUCGUUAUUAUUACUAUUCCUGCAUUUUAUUUUUCUUUAUUUCCUUUACGUUGUAUCAGAUUUGAUCCCUCAACAUAUUCGAUUCGAGAACAUUCGAUUAAGCUUCAUGCGUAUGCGUUCACCGUGUGCGAUUCCUAAGAACGCGUUUUAAUAUCGUCGAGUAUGUUUAGGAGGAAAGAUCGUAUGACCAAUACAUGUCUUCGAAGUUAAUAAAUAUAAUUGACAUUUAGAUCAGUAUUUCGCUUUCACUUUGUCAUUUUCUUUCUCUUUAUUUCCUUUUUUUCUUAUCCUCCACUUUUUUUCUAAAUAUUAAUUGUUAUUCGAUAUCGUUAGAUUUCACCGAGUUCGAAAACUUUCUUUCCAUUGUGUUUCAUUCGUCCUCGAACGAGCAUAGUGCCUUCUUUUCAUUCCGUUGCGAAUCACUCUCUCUCUCUACUCGGUGUUAUCGGAUAAUCGUAUUCGCCUAUAUGUAUUUGUAUGUCUGUUUUCAUACCGUUUUCUACGAAUUACAUACGUAAAGUAUGCUACGUAUCUUUUUCUGUUCCCCUUUUCGGUUAGUUUCUCUAGUAAUCUUUGCCACGACAGAAUAAUCAUAUUCGGAUCGUUGAACCGACGGAAAAUCGCGAUUCGAUGAUUCACGCUUUAUCGCUGAUCCUCGGAAUCAUAUACGUAGUGUCUUACCAUGUAUACAACACAGGGCGGUUGGACGAUCCGACGGGAAUGAUUGUCCCAUGGAUAGGCGUAUAAUGUAACCCGUGACUCUUUUUAUUGACGACGACUGCAUUGCCCCCCCCCUGACAAAGGCUUGUAUAUUCAUUAUAUAGUUGUAUUUGCGAUUAUUACCUAUGCAUAUAUAUAGUAUAUAUAUACAAAGGCAAAUGGAUGUGGAUAGAGAGAAGAAUUUAAAUAUUGUUGGCGAAGAAUGAUGAGAGUGAUGAACGACCGCGUGGAACAUUAUCGAUAAGGGAAGAAAAUGAUUUAAAUCGAUUUAUGAACGAUUAUAAAUGGAAGAAGUGAUGCGUCGUAUAUCCCUUUCCGAUUGCCCGAACAAUUACGAGAUACACGGCUGGGGGAAAGGAAGAAACAAGAUCCAUUCUUUCUUUCUCUGUUGAUUAUAUUCCAAUUCGCUUCCUUUUUCUCGUCAAACUCCUCGUUUCUUCUUUCGCUAAUUAUUGCAAUUACUAUUAUUAUUGUUGCUAUUACGAUAACUAUUAUUAUUACCAUUCAUUAUUAUUAUUAAUGUUAUUACGUACAUAUGUUAACCUUUCGAUUGAGUUAUCUUCGAGUUUUACAUUGGGACGUGCAAUGUUGCGGCAUUUUGAAAUCAAUGUUCAAUUCCAAGUGCAAAUAACCUGUUGAGAGGAAAAAUUGCGUCUUCUGUAAGAGGGGAACAUUUUUCUUUCAAACGUCAAAUGCAUGAGACACGCUAAAAAUUAAAAAUUAUCAAUGAUUAAUUGGCAAGUCAUAUCGACGUCAGUAGCUGAAAUCCUGACAUCGUACGGUGAACUUCAUAUUCAAUAAUGUAAUUAAACAACACGAAACAUUCGGCACUUGUAAGUUCAUCGAAAGUACAAAACGAGUAUCGAUUAUUUGAAUUGUUUGGCCGAUUGUUUGCAUCCUAUAAACGUGUUGCAUACACCUCAAUCGAGUAGUUGUUCAUUGAAUCAUAUCAUUCGAAUAGUGUAAGCAGGUGUUUUAAUCAAAAAGUAUAACAGUCUAGAUAACGCUCGUGUGAUAUAUUAUUUCUGUAAUACAAUGUUCCGUAAUAGCUGUGGCUGUUCGGGAUACGUCGCACGAAGUCAUUAGGGGAUCGUUCGCUAAAACGUGAAGUUGCCGCUCGAUCAAACUUGCUCUAUACUUGUGUCUCAAUUUCGAACUAAUAAAAACACUAGUAUACCAGCGACGUAUUUCAGUUUUGAUAGUUCUCAUGAUAUAUAUAUAUGUAUAAUUUUCUAAUUGCUUCGAUUAAUAUUCUCUUCCAUGAAUUCUUGAAUACAAUUUUUGUUUAAAACAUUAAAAAAGAAAAUAUGUUAGUAACGAUGUUAAGGUUAUGUCUUCAGCUACUACCGAGAUACAUAUUUACACGUAAACGAAUUCAAUGUUUAAUGUCUAAUUAGUACCUAAAAUAAUGUGUGUUUAGUACAAUUGAGUUCGAUAUUGGUAGACAUUCUCCGUAAAUAUGAUCAUGUAGCACCGUUGUAAUGCGCGGAGUAAAGCGAUCUCUCGUGUGUCUAAGAAUUGAAACGUGCCUGGUAAGUGGUAAGAUGAUCAUAAGUUGUCGACGAAGCAUGCAGCUUAUAGUGUAGUAGUUGGUAGUAGCAACGAAUACGGUGUAUCGGUAGAAAAAGAGCGAAAACUAGAGAGGAAGUAAGAGAAAGAGGGAGUGAGAUAGAACUCGAGAAAGAAAAAGAGAGCAAAGGGCAGAGAGAUCCCUUUUCUAUGGUGGACUCUCCGGUUCGUUAUUAUCGGCGAGUGACGCACACAGAACCGAGACACUAUUGCGCGAAACAACUUCCUCCAUUUCCUGCUACGAUUCUGUUUCACGCGUACUUCCGGCCGUUUCCCCCGCAUGCUUCUUUCUGUUUUACUUGAGAGCAAAAGAAGAAGAAAAGUAAGAAUCGUGCGUGUUAAAUUAAAUACGCGUGCAAGUAUCGAACGAGAAUAAAAUGAAAGAAACUAGAAUGUCACUCAAAACGUGAAAAAAACGAAAAAAAAAAGUAAGAGAAGAUGACAAUGAGAGAACUUGCGAGCGUAAUGGAGAUAUGAUUGACGCAUAAAAAGAAUGAUGAUGUUCUUUUUGCCGAAUGAAGAGAAAGAGAGCGAGUAUGUCAACAAAUUUUAAUAUAUAUAUAUAUAUAUAUAUAUAUAUAAUAUAUAAUCAUACAUAUAAUUAUAUAUAUAUAAUAUAUAAUUAUAUAUUAUAUAUGUAUGUAUUAUGGUACAUUGUGUUUUUUUCUUGAUGACGACUACUGCUUAACGAUUUAUUGAUUACGACGACGAUUAUGGUGACAACUAUAUGAGAGAAUGUAGACGGAGUAUGUAUAAAAUGUAUUUUAAGCGUGGACAAAACAAAUAUCAAUUUACACUUACAAUUUACAGUAACGAAUAACAAUACUGAUGUGGGUUGUGCAUAAGGAAACAAAAGAAAAACAAAAAGGAAAAAAAAGUUGAAAAGCGUAUCGUAACACGGCGAAUGGAGAAUCGGAUCGACUCAACGAUCGAAUCGCGCACGUGAUUGCGCGUAGAAAACGAGUUUUCGUCCCGGUGCGGAUUCAUCUCUUUCCUGCUUGUUCUUUUUUGUUCUGUUUUGUCGCGUUCUGCGUGCAUACUUAAAUCAUCCUGUUCUCACUUAAGUCAACCGUAUUCCAUUGUAUCCAACAAACUUGCGUAACAUUGUUUCAAAAUCAGUUCAUUUCUUUGUUGAGAUUUGGUGAGAACAGGCAAGCGAAAUUGGACGAUUUCUAAUUGAUAAAUAUGUUUUGUAUCGAAUAAUAAUCAUUUCUCGACAUAUGUGUCUAUUUCACAAUUUGUUAUUAAUUUGCAUCUAUUAAAAGAAUGAUGGAAUAAAAAGAAAAAAGGCACGCAGGGAAAAGUGGAAGAAAAAGGAACGUGCAGGUGGAUAGGCGUUAGCAAAUUAAAACAGGAGUGCCAAAUCAUCCGUGACUUCCGUCCCACUUGGGCAAUAAUAAGUACAGCAACUUGGCGAGAAAGCAAAUGUUUGCCAUUUGUCCUCCAAUAAUCGUAAGAAUUCCUAAUCUGUCCGCUGUAUCGAUUCUUUUUUUCAUAUUGUGCUCGAGAAAUGGCCACUACAUCCGUUAUUUUCGCUAAGAUUUAUUCAUGGCCGAAAAUAUCGUGACGAUGUAUGUAUUAGUAGAGAACAAUCGAGCAAAUGUCAUCGAGUUAAGUCAUCGAAAAAGAAAAAGAAAUGAAAAAUCGAUCCGAAACUACGGCUUUACGAUAAAGGUUAUUGCUCUCGAGCGAUCGAUGUAAAUAAUCGAUCUGGAUAAAGUAAUUUCGACACUCGCUAUUAGUGCCUGUCGUUUCGUCGAUAAUCCGAAUAGAGGUUCAUUUCGUCAUUAAUGUCGAGAAACCUCAAGUUCCAUUCGUCGAACUGACAAAAAAUGAGCUCGUAUUCGAUUCUCCAUUUACUAUGAACGCUCUUUAUUAAAAAAUACAACGGCCGUGAUUCAUUUUGGCGGCUAAUUAAGCAAAAAAAAAAAAAGAAACUAAAAAAACAAAAAAAUAUUUAUUCAAACGACUUGCCAGUUUCGUUGCACAGUAUACACGAAGUAGGUUCGAGCAUACAAAAAAAAGUAAAUAAAUAAAUCAAUAAUAACGGAAAGAGAUCUAUAGAUUAUGGAUUAAAUGAAUGAGUUGCAUAGUUAUUUGAGAUGUUUUACGAAAUAUCGAUGUAUAUAUUUUAAGUUUGUAUUAUAAUGCCCCCACUUAAUUUGUAUGAAAUGGAGAAUUUCAAACAUUAAAAUGAUGACAAAAAAUA